AGAGUUUGAUCCUGGCUCAGGACGAACGCUGGCGGCGUGCCUAACACAUGCAAGUCGUACGGGACCUGGGGGCAACUCCAGGUUCAGUGGCAGACGGGUGCGUAACACGUGAGGAACUUGUCCGGUGGCGGGGGAUAGCCGGCCCAACGGCCGGGUAAUACCGCAUACGCUCGUUCGGGGGCAUCCCUGGGCGAGGAAAGCAGCCGCAAGGUUGCGCCGACGGAGGGCCUCGCGGCCUAUCAGCUAGUUGGCGGGGUAACGGCCCACCAAGGCGACGACGGGUAGCUGGUCUGAGAGGAUGAUCAGCCACAUUGGGACUGAGACACGGCCCAGACUCCUACGGGAGGCAGCAGUGGGGAAUAUUGCGCAAUGGCCGCAAGGCUGACGCAGCGACGCCGCGUGUGGGAUGACGGUCUUCGGAUUGUAAACCACUGUCGGGAGGAACGAAUGCGGGACGUCGAAUAGGCGAUCUCGAGUGACGGUACCUCCAAAGGAAGCACCGGCUAACUCCGUGCCAGCAGCCGCGGUAAUACGUAGGGGGCGAGCGUUGUUCGGAUUUACUGGGCGUAAAGAGCGCGUAGGUGGUUCGAUUAGUCGGAGGUGAAAUCCCUCGGCUCAACCGAGGACCCGCGUCCGAUACUGUCGAACUUGAGUGCAGGAGAGGAGAGCGGAAUUCCCAGUGUAGCGGUGAAAUGCGUAG
rnacentral:rRNA from 1 species